rnacentral:lncRNA from 1 species
AACGGAUGUUGUUCACUAGGUUAGAAUGGUUCAUGGAAAAGAAUGAGCUUUAUCCUGAAAUGAUGACCGGAUAUAGAGAUGGGAUAGGUCUCG